rnacentral:rRNA from 1 species
ACGAACGCUGGCGGCAGGCCUAACACAUGCAAGUCGAGCGCCCCGCAAGGGGAGCGGCGGACGGGUGAGUAACACGUGGGAAUUUUCCUCAAGGUACGGAACAACUCAGGGAAACUUGGGCUAAUACCGUAUGAUGCAGAGAUGCCAAAGAUUUAUCGCCUUGGGAUAAGCCCGCGUCAGAUUAGGUAGUUGGUGGGGUAAUGGCCUACCAAGCCUGUGAUCUGUAGCUGGUCUGAGAGGACGAUCAGCCACAUUGGGACUGAGACACGGCCCAAACUCCUACGGGAGGCAGCAGUGGGGAAUCUUGCGCAAUGGACGAAAGUCUGACGCAGCCAUGCCGCGUGAAUGAUGAAGGUCUUAGGAUUGUAAAGUUCUUUAGCCUGUGACGAUGAUGACGGUAACAGGAGAAUAAGCCCCGGCUAACUUCGU